ACCGGUAGAGGCGCGUUUUUCACGGAAAUCGGAAGGAGACGGUCAGGUUGUGGAUCGCCGAUUGAGGGGGAAAACGCCGAAGGGCUCCUUUCACUGACAGGUCAGGUCCCCUGGGGGUAUUUCCAAAUAGGAGUACCACUGUCAUCAUGGAAUAUGAUGGAGUGCUAUGG
rnacentral:ncRNA from 1 species